UACGUAGGGGGCGAGCGUUAUCCGGAAUUAUUGGGCGUAAAGAGCGCGCAGGUGGUUGAUUAAGCCUGAUGUGAAAGCCCACGGCUUAACCGUGGAGGGUCAUUGGAAACUGGUCGACUUGAGUGCAGAAGAGGGAAGUGGAAUUCCUAGUGUAGCGGUGAAAUGCGUAGAUAUUAGGAGGAACACCAGUGGCGAAGGCGGCUUUCUGGACUGAUACUGACGCUGAGGAACGAAAGCGUGGGGAGCAAACAGGAUUAGAUACCCUGGUAGUCCCU
rnacentral:rRNA from 1 species